CUGCAUAAUGAGGGCUUUUCUUCCUGGUGAGACUGUUAUGAUUAGAUGUGAUAAACCUAAUCAUAACUUUAAUAAGAAACUCCUUUCACCUUAUUAUUUGCCCAAGCUGUGUGUGGGGUUUUAUUGGCCAUAAACUGUGUUUACUAAUUCCUCAGGCUCAUGAACAAGAGACCCUGGCCUCUUUGGAAAGUUUCCUGGCUAAGUGCUUUCUGGGCAAGUCAACUACUGUGUUUAAAUGCUCUGAAAAAUCAAAAGAGGCUGUUAACUGAGGCACAAGAUCGAAAGGAGCUUCCCUGGCAAUAUGAAGACUCACUGCUCUCAUCAAUGUCAACCUUAUUAAUUGUGCCUUAGAAUGUUCCCUUCUAUCUCCAUCCUCCCACAGUCACUUGGUGAUUCUUAAUUUCAGUGAACUUGAUAGCAUACCAAAGGGUGAGAAAGUCCAUUGAUUGAUAGGUCAAUAAAGGAAGGACUGGCUACCCAGCUGGAGGGAGUUCAGUCAUCAGGUAGCCUCAAGGCAUCAGCUACAACAGAGUUUGUCUCAGCUGCCAAGAUCUGUCUUGCCUGAGGUCAAGUAAUUCUUUCUGGGGACAGGCCCAGGUAGUUGCUGCCCUUUCAGUUUGGGACACAGAGUGAGAGACACAGAGCACGCCUUGAUCCUGUCUUGCAGCCUGGAGUCCAGUUCAGCUGAACCCAAAAGGACCCAGAAACUUAAAUCACCCCAGAAUCACCUUGAUUUGAACAGAUCUGCGAAUAGAAAAGAAAAUUCAUCCACAGUUUUCUUGUUUUCACCUGGCUUUUUGGUUGCCACCAGAUGGAACCACCACAUACAUUAUUUACCUGAAAACCUACAUCUUUGCAAGCUGCUACUGAGGGCAAGCAGCAGUUUGUGGACUCUCACCAGCAUAUGCAGAACCAACAUGGCCAUGCUUCUGGCAGAUUAUGCUGCAGACCUCUCAUCUCCUCUCUGGGGUUUUCUGCUGUAUAUGUACAUGUGCAGCUCAGUGCCCAGCUCAGAAGCGUGCAGGAGUUAACACACCUGAUGAGAGAGGGUGAAGAAGUCUCAAGUCUUCACAGCUAAUGUUGAAAGACUGAACUGAAAUUAAGCUGCUGCUCAAAGGAGAGUUUCCCUACCAGGUGCAACGAAGUUAAUUGCCUCUAAAGACAAAAGCAUCAAUACUCUUUUGAGGAGCAUGACAAGAUGCAGAAUCUCUAUGACAUAGUAUUUAUAGUGUUUGGGUUGAAAGAUUACUCAGCAUAUGGUGAACCAGUCUCAAAAGAAAAGGAAUUCAACUGAGAUCAAUCAUGAGAUGAUUCAGAUGUUGGAAUGAGCUCAGAUUUUAAAUCAGCUAUUGAUUCUCAGAGAAGUUUUUUUUUUUUAAAGCUAAUAAUACACAGAAACAUAUGAAAUCUCAGUAGAGAAAUAGAAUGAAAUGGAAAUUCUAGAGCUGAAAAAAAUAGCCAAAAUUAAAAUCCCCCAGAUAGGCUUAUCAGCAAAAUAGAAAUGAGAGGGGAAGUCAGUGAAUUUAAGGAUGACUCAAUAGAAGACUAAUCUGAAGACAAAGCAAAUAAGAUUGAAAAAAAACUGAGCAGAACCUUGGGGACGUGUGGGCAAUAACAAAAUAGCAAAAACAAAAGGAUAGCGUAAUCAGAGUGCUGAAAGCCAAGGAUAAAGAGGAAAUUUUGAAGCAACCAGAGAAUAAUGAUAUUUUAUGUGAGAUGUACAAGGAAGAUGAACCUGUGAUGAAAGAAAUCAGAACAGCGGGGAAAAGGGGACAGGAACUACUUGGAAAUAGACAUGAGAAAACUUUUGGGGGCUGAUAUCAUGAUAGAGAUUUGGGUUACACAGGUGUGUACUUUUAUUAUAACAGCAAAUAUCCACUUAAGAUUAGUGUAUGUAAUCUCAUUAUGUGUAAACAUAAAUUUUACAUUAAAAGAAAAAAUAACUAAGCUAAAAAUUACAGUUUAUUCUCAAAAACUUUAAAUACUCUGAGGAAAAAGACUCAGCUCAUUUCCCAUCAUUGUGUCCCUUGUGCUGAAUAUAAUGCAUGACAUAGGAUACAUGGUCAA